rnacentral:tRNA from 1 species
CGGGGCGUAGCGCAGUCUGGUAGCGUGCACGGUUCGGGACCGUGAGGUCGGAGGUUCAAAUCCUCUCGCCCCGACCA